GACAGAGGUGCCGAGCGUUAGGCGGAAUCACUGGGCUUAAAGCGUGUGUAGGCGGACUUCUAAGUGCCUUGUGAAACUCCAUGGCUUAACCAUGGAACUGGCUGGCAUGACUGGGAGUCUUAGCCACUUAGGGGCUAGCGGAACAAAUGGUGGAGCGGUGAAAUGCGUAGAUAUCAUUUGGAACGCCAAUGGUGAAAACAGCUAGCUGGGAGUGUGCUGACGCUGAGACACGAAAGCCAGGGGAGCGAACGGGG
rnacentral:rRNA from 1 species